UUAAGCGACUAAGCGUACACGGUGGAUGCCCUGGCAGUCAGAGGCGAUGAAGGACGUGCUAAUCUGCGAAAAGCGCCGGCGAGGUGAUAUGAACCCUUGACCCGGCGAUGUCCGAAUGGGGAAACCCAGUGCAAUCCGUUGCACUAUCGUUAACUGAAUACAUAGGUUAACGAGGCGAACCGGGGGAACUGAAACAUCUAAGUACCCCGAGGAAAAGAAAUCAACCGAGAUUCCCCCAGUAGCGGCGAGCGAACGGGGAGCAGCCCGGAGUCUGAAUCAGCUUGUGUGUUAGUGGAACGGUCUGGAAAGUCCGACGGUACAGGGUGAUAGUCCCGUACACGAAAAUGCACAUGCUGUGAACUCGAAGAGUAGGGCGGGACACGUGGUAUCCUGUCUGAAUAUGGGGGGACCAUCCUCCAAGGCUAAAUACUCCUGACUGACCGAUAGUGAACCAGUACCGUGAGGGAAAGGCGAAAAGAACCCCGGCGAGGGGAGUGAAAAAGAACCUGAAACCGUGUACGUACAAGCAGUGGGAGCCUCUUUAUGGGGUGACUGCGUACCUUUUGUAUAAUGGGUCAGCGACUUAUAUUCUGUAGCAAGGUUAACCGUAUAGGGGAGCCGAAGGGAAACCGAGUCUUAACUGGGCGUUAAGUUGCAGGGUAUAGACCCGAAACCCGGUGAUCUAGCCAUGGGCAGGUUGAAGGUUGGGUAACACUAACUGGAGGACCGAACCGACUAAUGUUGAAAAAUUAGCGGAUGACCUGUGGCUGGGGGUGAAAGGCCAAUCAAACCGGGAGAUAGCUGGUUCUCCCCGAAAGCUAUUUAGGUAGCGCCUCGUGAACUCAUCUUCGGGGGUAGAGCACUGUUUCGGCUAGGGGGCCAUCCCGGCUUACCAACCCGAUGCAAACUACGAAUACCGAAGAAUGUUAUCACGGGAGACACACGGCGGGUGCUAACGUCCGUCGUGAAGAGGGAAACAACCCAGACCGCCAGCUAAGGUCCCAAAGUCAUGGUUAAGUGGGAAACGAUGUGGGAAGGCACAGACAGCCAGGAUGUUGGCUUAGAAGCAGCCAUCAUUUAAAGAAAGCGUAAUAGCUCACUGGUCGAGUCGGCCUGCGCGGAAGAUGUAACGGGGCUAAACCAUGCACCGAAGCUGCGGCAGCGACACUUAUGUGUUGUUGGGUAGGGGAGCGUUCUGUAAGCCGUUGAAGGUGUGCUGUGAGGCAUGCUGGAGGUAUCAGAAGUGCGAAUGCUGACAUAAGUAACGAUAAAGCGGGUGAAAAGCCCGCUCGCCGGAAGACCAAGGGUUCCUGUCCAACGUUAAUCGGGGCAGGGUGAGUCGACCCCUAAGGCGAGGCCGAAAGGCGUAGUCGAUGGGAAACAGGUUAAUAUUCCUGUACUUGGUGUUACUGCGAAGGGGGGACGGAGAAGGCUAUGUCAGCCGGGCGACGGUUGUCCCGGUUUAAGCAUGUAGGCGGAGGUUCCAGGUAAAUCCGGUACCUUGUUAACGCUGAGGUGUGAUGACGAGGCACUACGGUGCUGAAGUGAUAAAUGCCCUGCUUCCAGGAAAAGCCUCUAAGCAUCAGGUAACACGAAAUCGUACCCCAAACCGACACAGGUGGUCAGGUAGAGAAUACCAAGGCGCUUGAGAGAACUCGGGUGAAGGAACUAGGCAAAAUGGUGCCGUAACUUCGGGAGAAGGCACGCUGAUGUGUAGGUGAAGCCCCUGCGGGUGGAGCUGAAAUCAGUCGAAGAUACCAGCUGGCUGCAACUGUUUAUUAAAAACACAGCACUGUGCAAACACGAAAGUGGACGUAUACGGUGUGACGCCUGCCCGGUGCCGGAAGGUUAAUUGAUGGGGUUAGCGGCAACGCGAAGCUCUUGAUCGAAGCCCCGGUAAACGGCGGCCGUAACUAUAACGGUCCUAAGGUAGCGAAAUUCCUUGUCGGGUAAGUUCCGACCUGCACGAAUGGCGUAAUGAUGGCCAGGCUGUCUCCACCCGAGACUCAGUGAAAUUGAACUCGCUGUGAAGAUGCAGUGUACCCGCGGCAAGACGGAAAGACCCCGUGAACCUUUACUAUAGCUUGACACUGAACACUGGUCCUUGAUGUGUAGGAUAGGUGGGAGGCUUUGAAGCGUGGACGCCAGUCUGCGUGGAGCCAACCUUGAAAUACCACCCUUUAAUGGCUGGUGUUCUAACGUAGACCCGUAAUCCGGGUUGCGGACAGUGUCUGGUGGGUAGUUUGACUGGGGCGGUCUCCUCCCAAAGAGUAACGGAGGAGCACGAAGGUUGGCUAAUCCUGGUCGGACAUCAGGAGGUUAGUGCAAUGGCAUAAGCCAGCUUGACUGCGAGCGUGACGGCGCGAGCAGGUGCGAAAGCAGGUCAUAGUGAUCCGGUGGUUCUGAAUGGAAGGGCCAUCGCUCAACGGAUAAAAGGUACUCCGGGGAUAACAGGCUGAUACCGCCCAAGAGUUCAUAUCGACGGCGGUGUUUGGCACCUCGAUGUCGGCUCAUCACAUCCUGGGGCUGAAGUAGGUCCCAAGGGUAUGGCUGUUCGCCAUUUAAAGUGGUACGCGAGCUGGGUUUAGAACGUCGUGAGACAGUUCGGUCCCUAUCUGCCGUGGGCGCUGGAGAAUUGAGGGGGGCUGCUCCUAGUACGAGAGGACCGGAGUGGACGCAUCACUGGUGUUCGGGUUGUCAUGCCAAUGGCACUGCCCGGUAGCUAAAUGCGGAAGAGAUAAGUGCUGAAAGCAUCUAAGCACGAAACUUGCCCCGAGAUGAGUUCUCCCUGAGACUUUAAGUCUCCUGAAGGAACGUUAAAGACUAUGACGUUGAUAGGUCGGGUGUGUAAGCGCAGCGAUGCGUUGAGCUAACCGAUACUAAUGAACCGUGAGGCUUAACCU
rnacentral:rRNA from 1 species